GUGUGGGGUAAUGGGC
rnacentral:piRNA from 1 species